rnacentral:rRNA from 1 species
CCUCGGGGGGCAGCAGUGAGGAAUAUUGGUCAAUGGGCUUACGCCUGAACCAGCCAAGUCGCGUGAGGGAAGACUGCCCUAUGGGUUGUAAACCUCUUUUGUCAGGGAGCAACGCCGGCUACGUGUAGCCGGACUGAGAGUACCUGAAGAAAAAGCAUCGGCUAACUCCGUGCCAGCAGCCGCGGUAAUACGGAGGAUGCGAGCGUUAUCCGGAUUUAUUGGGUUUAAAGGGUGCGUAGGCGGAAGGUUAAGUCAGCGGUCAAAUGUCGGUGCUCAACACCGGCCUGCCGUUGAAACUGGUCUUCUUGAGUGAGCGAGAAGUAUGCGGAAUGCGUGGUGUAGCGGUGAAAUGCAUAGAUAUCACGCAGAACUCCGAUUGCGAAGGCAGCAUACCGGCGCUCAACUGACGCUGAGGCACGAAAGCGUGGGGAUCGAACAGGAUUAGAUACCCUUGUAGUC